rnacentral:lncRNA from 1 species
UUGUAGACAGUCAACACCAUUAAACAAAAAAUCAAUUCCUGGGCCGAGCGCAGUGGCUCAUGCUUGUAAUCCACACUGCCAGCCUCCACAACCGUGAGAAAAUAAACAUCUGUUGUUUAAGCAUACCCUCUCUUCAUAGGGAUUAUUGGAGCCUAGAAGAGUGCAUGGACACUUUUCAUUAUUAUUAUUAUUUACUAGAUUAUCACCCCAACAGAAUAGGAACUGAAUUCCUUUUUGCAAGUAGGUGUUCAAUAAUUAUUUGUUGAAUGAAUGAAUGCUAUGGCUACUAUAUGGAAUUUCUAGGUCAAAUAGGAGCAGAAGGCUGGGGGUAUGGGGGCUUGCACUUGUAAUCCCAGCACUUUGGGAGUCCGAGUCUGGAGGAUCACUUACACCUAGGAGUUACUAGCCUGGGCAACAUAGGGAGAUUCCAUGUCUACAAAAAAUAAUAAAAAAUAGCCAGGUGUGGUGGCCCGCACCUGUAAUCCCAGCUACAUGGGAGGCUGAAGCAGGAGGAUCACUUGCACAUGGGAGGUUGAGGCUGCAGUGAGCUGUGAUUGCACCACUACACUCCAGCUGGGAUGACAGAACAAGUCUCCAUCUCUCUCUCUAUAUAUAUAAAUGCGUGUGUGUGUGUGUGUGUGUG